rnacentral:rRNA from 1 species
AAGAAAGCUUGCUUUCUUUGCUGGCGACCGGCGCACGGGUGAGUAACACGUAUCCAACCUACCCUUUACUCGGGGAUAGCCUUUCGAAAGAAAGAUUAAUACCCGAUAGCAUAAUGAUUCCGCAUGGUUUCAUUAUUAAAGGAUUCCGGUAAAGGAUGGGGAUGCGUUCCAUUAGGUUGUUGGUGGGGUAACGGCCCACCAAGCCUUCGAUGGAUAGGGGUUCUAAGAGGAAGGUCCCCCACAUUGGAACUGAGACACGGUCCAAACUCCUACGGGAGGCAGCAUG